rnacentral:misc_RNA from 1 species
GAUGAAGAACGUAGCGAAAUGCGAUAAUUAAUGUGAAUUGCAGAAUUUAGUGAAUCAUCGAAUCUUUGAACGCACAUUGCGCCCCUUGGUAUUCCGGGGGGCAUGCCUGUUCGAGCGUCAUUUCAACCCUCAAGCACUGCUUGGUCUUGGGCCACGCCGGCGACGGCAGGCCUCAAACGUAGUGGCGGCACCAUCGGUUCCCUCAGUGUAGUAAUAUCUCUCGCUGCUGGGCCCUGGUGGUCGCUAGCCAGCAACCUCAAUUUUUUCUGGUUGACCUCGGAUCAGGUAGGGAUACCCGCUGAACUUAAGCAUAUCAAUAAGCGGAGGA